GCCCUCGUAGUUCAAUGGAUAGAACGCUGGCGUCCUAAGCCAUGGAUGGAGGUUCGAAUCCUCCCGAGGGCU
rnacentral:tRNA from 1 species